UACGUAGGGAGCAAGCGUUGUCCGGAAUUACUGGGCGUAAAGGGCGCGUAGGUGGCCUUCUAAGUUGAACGUGAAAUCCCUGGGCUCAACCCAGGAACUGCGUCCAAGACUGGGAGGCUUGAAUCCGGGAGAGGGAUGCGGAAUUCCAGGUGUAGCGGUGAAAUGCGUAGAUAUCUGGAGGAACACCGGUGGCGAAGGCGGCAUCCUGGACCGGUAUUGACACUGAGGCGCGAAAGCCAGGGGAGCAAACGGG
rnacentral:rRNA from 1 species